rnacentral:rRNA from 1 species
ACAACGAAGAGUUUGAUCCUGGCUCAGGAUGAACGCUAGCGGCAGGCUUAACACAUGCAAGUCGAGGGGUAACAGGGGAGCUUGCUUCCGCUGACGACCGGCGCACGGGUGCGUAACGCGUAUGCAACCUACCUUCUACAGGGGGAUAGUCAAUAGAAAUGUUGAAUAAUACCCCAUACGAUCUUAGAGUAUCAUUACUUUAAGAAGAAAGCUUCGGCGGUAGAAGAUGGGCAUGCGUCCUAUUAGUUAGUUGGUAAGGUAACGGCUUACCAAGACUACGAUAGGUAGGGGCCCUGAGAGGGGGAUCCCCCACACUGGUACUGAGACACGGACCAGACUCCUACGGGAGGCAGCAGUG